rnacentral:misc_RNA from 1 species
AGCAAAUGGCCAGUAGCAGAGAAACGGAGAGUGUCUUGCUUAGCACGCGAACCUCUAAACACAAUCGGGUCGAUCUCUUUCGUUCGAGAAGUUGAAAAAAGGCACGUCAUUGGCACCGAUCUAAGAGUGAAGUGCAAGUAUGUCGCUCGCAAAACCAGUUGGGAAAUAGUGAAAUGUGACUUUCCUAUCGUCUAGCCGAUGCACC